rnacentral:rRNA from 1 species
GACGAACGCUGGCGGCGUGCUUAACACAUGCAAGUCGUACGGUAAGGCCCUUUCGGGGGUACACGAGUGGCGAACGGGUGAGUAACACGUGAGUAACCUGCCCACAACUUUGGGAUAACGCUAGGAAACUGGUGCUAAUACUGGAUAUGUGCUCCUGCUGCAUGGUGGGGGUUGGAAAGCUCCGGCGGUUGUGGAUGGACUCGCGGCCUAUCAGCUUGUUGGUGGGGUAGUGGCCUACCAAGGCGGCGACGGGUAGCCGGCCUGAGGGGGUGACCGGCUACAUUGGGACUGAGAUACGGCCCAGACUCCUACGGGAGGCAGCAGUGGGGAAUAUUGCACAAUGGGCGCAAGCCUGAUGCAGCAACGCCGCGUGCGGGAUGACGGCCUUCGGGUUGUAAACCGCUUUCAGCAGGGACGAAGCUUUUUGUGACGGUACCUGCAGAAGAAGCACCGGCUAACUACGU